rnacentral:rRNA from 1 species
GCGUGCUUAACACAUGCAAGUCGAACGGUAAGGCUCUUCGGAGUACACGAGUGGCGAACGGGUGAGUAACACGUGAGCAACCUACCCUUGACACUGGAAUAAGCGCUCGAAAGGGCGUCUAAUACCGGAUAUUACUUCUUCAGACAUCUGAUGAAGUGGAAAGCUCCGGCGGUCAAGGAUGGGCUCGCGGCCUAUCAGCUAGUUGGUGAGGUAACGGCUCACCAAGGCUUCGACGGGUAGCCGGCCUGAGAGGGCGACCGGCCACACUGGGACUGAGAUACGGCCCAGACUCCUACGGGAGGCAGCAGUGGGGAAUAUUGCACAAUGGGCGCAAGCCUGAUGCAGCAACGCCGCGUGCGGGAUGACGGCCUUCGGGUUGUAAACCGCUUUCAGCACCGACGAAGCGAAAGUGACGGUAGGUGCAGAAGAAGGACCGGCCAACUACGUGCCAGCAGCCGCGGUGAUACGUAGGGUCCGAGCGUUGUCCGGAAUUAUUGGGCGUAAAGAGCUCGUAGGCGGUUUGUCGCGUCGGAAGUGAAAACUCAGGGCUUAACUCUGAGCCUGCUUCCGAUACGGGCAGACUAGAGGAAGUUAGGGGAGAACGGAAUUCCUGGUGGAGCGGUGGAAUGCGCAGAUAUCAGGAGGAACACCGGUGGCGAAGGCGGUUCUCUGGGACUUUCCUGACGCUGAGGAGCGAAAGCGUGGGGAGCAAACAGGCUUAGAUACCCUGGUAGUCCACGCCGUAAACGGUGGGCACUAGGUGUGGGUCACAUUCCACGUGAUCCGUGCCGUAGCUAACGCAUUAAGUG